rnacentral:rRNA from 1 species
GGCUGGCCCGUGCGUGGAUGAGGUGGGGGAAGGCACCGGCUUGCCCCUUCGUGCUCCCAUUCGCCCUUUCUCUCUGGAUCCCCUCUUCUCUCCCAUGAUCCUCUCUCUCUCUCUCUUCCCCAACUGCCACCGCCACCAUCGUCGCCUGGUUCCGGCCAGCUCCGACGAAGUCCGUCACCAUCCAGCACAUCCACGAGGUCAUCUCGUGAAGCUGCUCCUUCUCCACCGUGUUGAUCCAUCGCGCCGCUCCUCUACGCGCGGCCCGGGCUAACCCUAGCACCGCGGUCAUCGGUGCACUACACGGCAUCGCCAUGGACGCCGGUGUUGCGCCUGCGGCUCCGAUCGGUCCUCCCCGACGCGGCCUCGGCUAACCCUAGCACCGCGGUCAUCGGUGCACUACACGGCGUCACCAUGGACGCUGGCGCUGCGCCUGCGGCUCCGAUCAGUCCUCCUCGACCCCGCCUAAGUCCUUGCGCACUACAUCGCCUCCUGGUCGUUGUUCCAGGCGCCUCCAUCGACUGGAGGAGCGAUGGGCCCUUGUCCUCGUGCCAGUGCGCGUCCGUGAAGGAAAUGAACCGAGAUGUGCCGCCUCAGAUCCACUGUGUGAAGGUAGCGGGGGACGGAUCACAAAGGGAGAGGUGCAGUCCUCCAGAGCUGUUGGAUCCCAAAAUUGGAAGAGUCACUUGGUUGUUUGAUGCGUUCGUGCUCGUCGGCGGGAUGGUGCAACACGCAACUCCGAUGCGGUUCCUCGCCGGUUGGACGGUGUUCAGGCGCAACCCCGGUGCUCACUGAGUACUGCCUCGGCUACAACCUCCCACGAUGAGGUUCGGCCCUGGAGGUUCCCAGGUUCGACUCCGAGAGCUGCUCGCUUUCUGAGGAGCCCCUGGCGAGGAUUGUGCUCAGAGACGACCCACACGACGCUCCGCUCGCUGUCGUGGUGCAGCCCUUUUGAAAGUUCCCGAGAUAGCUGAUUGGUGCUACAUGAUAUCGUGAUAGUUUGGCGCUCUCAUGGUUCUUUUCGAGAGAUCAUUCUUCCAAGCAUUAUUUGGUAACCAUCUACUGUAGAUCAUCUACUGCCCUUAUGGUGAGUCAUUAAUGGUGCAUGUUUUACUGUUAGUUUCUCUAAGCGGAGCACCCCUUCAUGCCCCAAGCCGUGGUCAGUAUCCUAAUUAACCUGCUGCUUCUUGGAUUAUUAUUAAUUAGAGAGACAAGAUCAAUGGAGCUUGUUGUAUACUCUUAAGUUUGUUUUACUUCAUGGAGAAAAGAACAAGAGAGCCCUUUCUUAGAGGGGCGUUCACGUGGAUGACCGAACAGUAGUUAUGAUCAGUUAAUCGCUCCCCUCAUUUUUGUGCAUUAUUCUCACAUAGAAAAUAAUGUUUGUGCCUCUCUUUUCUCAAGUUCACGCGUUGUACUGGAGAUUACUGUAAGACACAAGCAGAAAUGAUGAUGUGGUAGUCAAGUUCUUCGUGGAAAGCUUGCCUUGGUUGAUCUUGCGGGCAGAGAGCCACAACCAUGCAAGGAAAUCUUAACAUCCAGCCGGUCGAUCGCUUGCUUGAUCAGUGCAUGGACAUCAUUUUCCUGCCACGGCUUCGUAAACAGAUCUGCACGUCGACCACUCUUCUCCUCCUCAUUACUCCUCUUUUUUCCCUAGGGUGGUGUUUGUACAUCAUGGAGAGGCUCACACUGAGGGAAGGCUAAAUUGUGGGUGAUGCUAUCCCACUAGGAUUGUGUCAUCACCACCUACAUAAUUAGUCCCAGGAAAAAUAUAAAGUAUACCAAGGUAUUUGUUGUCCAGGCAUAGGUCGCUUCCAGGGCCGUCUCGGCCCGAUCCCGCAGUACUCCUUCCCUUCAAUGUAGUUUCUCUCUUCCUAGGAUGGCCUGGAUGGCCCUAGCUGGGCAGCCUUUGAUACCCCGUGUUAGGCGCCUAGGUGUUGCCUUCCUGAUAAAUCCGGCUGCCACCGACCGGCACGAGCUCGCUUCGGCCCCUCCUCUUCCCCCUAACAGCCUCCUCCUCCGAUCUUGCAGCUACUGCCUCAUCGACAACCUACAACAAAAAAGGUUCGUGUUAGGCGGUCCCUCUAAAGUACAUCGACAAGGCACAUGGACUACGCCACUUAUUAGUAUGCUUAGUGAUUAUGGCUCCGUAGUUGGCUCUGUUUAUUAUUUCAUGUUCUUAUUACCUCUUGUGUGUUAUUGCUUUCGGUAUUGAACUUCAUGUCGAAUGGCUAUAUUUUGUUGUUGUAUGAACACGCCGAGAUUGAUCCCGCCUUAUAAACUGAUGUUGAUCUUGUG